rnacentral:lncRNA from 1 species
UUAUCACUAUCUUAUUCUCUAUUGUUUUCAACAAUUCUCUGGGUCAAAAACUACUCCACAGUGAGGUCCAUUUAAAUUCACAUGUCUUUGAAGGGGUAGUUUUUGAAGCUAGGCUUUGAGAUUUGUUCUGGACCUCAAGAAUGUUCUUCUUAGUUAUCUCUUUCUCUGGUUCUCCCUGGUGAACUAGCUGGCCUAGGAUUUAGUUUGUUGCUCUCAAGGACCUACUAGCCCCAUCUUUAUUUUAUUUCUUUUUAAAUUAUAGUUGACCCUCUUUAUUUCUUAUCACUAAAAUCUCCAUGGUUCUAAAGAGUGCCAUUAGGCUUGAACUCCCCUCUAUCUGUCUGUUCUAAACAAAGUCAAUUCCAUGGGAAAGGUUUGGGCUCUUUGUUCUACCUCUUACACUUGGUCAAAAUCUUCAAGAUCCUCUCCAGAGCAGGAGCUGCAGUCCUUUAUGAGCAGAUCACUCAGCAGGGGCCAUAGCAUCUAGUCUUCUCAACUAGUCAAUUUUCUCAGAGUGGAAACUCUGCCAAAAAAGUGAGGUGGGGUGAGAUGAAGUAGGGCCCCAAUUCCUGGCCUGCCACACCUGCAGUACAGGCUCCACCCUAUGAUAGGGAACUGGGUGGAGGAAACCUCCUCCCCAACUUCUUAGAACAUAGCCUCUGCAAUAGAAGGCUUUAGGGGAAUGAGAAGUACUGCAGUCCUGCACAACUUGCACUACCACAGCCCUCACCAGAGAACUGGGGCAGGGGGUUAGGAAGAGGGAGACAGGAAUCUUGCAUUCUAGUUUAUAUUGACUCAUGUUGACCUGGGGCACUGAGGGCAUAGGGGGGAGGAAGUAGGUUGUGCUCAAAUACCACAGCUUGCCACUGUUCUUACUGAGAUUUAAUAUAUAUUCUUGAAUAAAUGUUGUUGUUGAUUAUUAGCUGUAUGUCCCUAGGAAAAUUUUCAGAGGUUUUAAAUAAUUUGCUUUUUUAUAGGGAACAGAUCUGCGGAGCCUGUCACAUCACCAUUUUGGAAGUGGGUCACCUAUUUAACUCAUGUUCAGUGUUAUAGAGGGCAGUUAAGAAAAAGAGACAUUUCUACCUUUCAUGGAUAAAACACAUUGCAGAUCUCGGGAGAACCCAGGUGAUGGUUGGCACAGGAAGAGCACCAUCAGUGGCCCAGAGAUGAGGAAACCUGACAUGGCAUGACCAUCAGAACCAUGUGAUACCCAGCAGAGAGUCUUCCUCUCAUGAAGGUUCAUAGCACAGGAUGCCUGAAGGGGCAGAGAACCUGACAAAGAAAGUGGUACCUGCUCCAUGGUGGCAGAAGUGACUUGUUUGUGGGCCCACUUGAGACACACCUAGAGAACUCCCCGGAAUAGGAAAGAGACUGAAAGAGAAGCUGGAUUUCCAUGAAAUUUUUUGGUCUGACUAGAGCCAAAGGAAAAAAAAAAAAUGUAUGUCACCAAAUCUUAACCCUACCUUGAUUUAAGACUAAAUAUCUAUAGAACUGGGGCUGUGAUUCAAAUUAUAAAAGGAAUAGAAUGCAGUAACACAGUUGAAGUGUGGAGAAAAAGAAAUUAAUGGGAUUUAGAAUA